AGAGUUUGAUCCUGGCUCAGAACGAACGCUGGCGGCAGGCCUAACACAUGCAAGUCGAACGCCCCGCAAGGGGAGUGGCAGACGGGUGAGUAACACGUGGGAACCUUCCCUUUGGUACGGAAUAACCCACCGAAAGGUGGAUUAAUGCCGCAUAAGCCCGAGAGGGGAAAGAUUUAUCGCCAAAGGAUGGGCCCGCGUAGGAUUAGCUAGUUGGUGAGGUAAUGGCUCACCAAGGCGACGAUCCUUAGCUGGUCUGAGAGGACGACCAGCCACACUGGGACUGAGACACGGCCCAGACUCCUACGGGAGGCAGCAGUGGGGAAUAUUGGACAAUGGGCGCAAGCCUGAUCCAGCCAUGCCGCGUGAGUGAUGAAGGCCUUCGGGUUGUAAAGCUCUUUUGGCGGGGACGAUAGUGACGGUACCCGCAGAAUAAGCCCCGGCUAACUUCGUGCCAGCAGCCGCGGUAAU
rnacentral:rRNA from 1 species